rnacentral:rRNA from 1 species
CCACGGGUGGCUGCAGUGAGGAAUAUUGCACAAUGGGGGGAACCCUGAUGCAGCAACGCCGCGUGGAGGAUGACGCAUUUCGGUGUGUAAACUCCUUUUAUAUGUCAAGAAAAUGACGGUAGCAUAUGAAUAAGCACCGGCUAACUCCGUGCCAGCAGCCGCGGUAAUACGGAGGGUGCAAGCGUUACUCGGAAUCACUGGGCGUAAAGGACGCGUAGGCGGGUUGGAAAGUCAGGUGUGAAAUCCUACAGCUUAACUGUAGAACUGCACUUGAAACUUCUAAUCUAGAGUAUGGGAGGGGGAGAUGGAAUUAGGGGUGUAGGGGUAAAAUCCGUAGAUAUCACUAGGAAUACCUAAAGCGAAGGCGAUCUCCUGGAACAUAACUGACGCUAAGGCGUGAAAGCGUGGGGAGCAAACAGGAUUAGAUACCCGCGUAGUC